AAUAAUCAGAUGUGACUCAGAUAAUUUUCAUGAAUAAUCUGAACAUAAACCCACAAUUCAUCGGAUCCCAACAAACACACCAUACAUAGUGAUCACAUCGGAUAGAUCAAAGCGAAGAUGCGAUGAACAUGGUAUUGAAGAUCAUAAGAGAGAAAGGUUGCCACCUAGGUACUGCCUACGGACCCAUAGGUCUGUGGUGAACUACUCACACAUCAUGGUGAGGGCAACAAGGUUGAUGUAGAGGCCCUCCGUGAUUGAUCUCCCCUCCGACAGAUUGCCGGAAUGGAGGUUUAGAUGGCCUCCCGUCGGAACAGAGACUUGCGGGGGCGUAAAAAUCAUUUCGGAAGUGCUCUUAGGGUUUUCAGAAUAUUUUGGAAUUUAUAGGCCAGAGAGGGACGUCUAGAGGCAUCCAUGGGGGGCACAAGCCAUCAAGCGACCAAGCCCUGGGCCGAGCCCUGUUGGCUUGUGCCUCCCUUGUGCGGCUUCUCGUCCACUUCUGAUGCUGGCAGGUCUUCAUAUAGUCUAGAAAAAAUCAUAUUAAAGUUUUGUGGCAUUUGGACUUCGUUUGGUAGGGUAAACCUGCAAAGCAAAAACACGCAGAAAACAUGACUUGGCACUGGGCACUGGGUCAAAAGGGUUAGUGCUCAAAAUAUUAUAAAUUGGUAUAUAAAUGCCCAAAAAGUAUCCUAGAAUGAUAAUAUAUCAGCAUAGAACAAUCAAAAAUUAUUAUAGAUACGUUGGAGACGUAUCAGCAUCCCCAGGCUUAAUUCCUACUCGUCCUUGAGUAGGUAAAUGAUAAAAACAGAUUUUUUUAUGUGACAUGCUACCCAUAAUGUAAUCUCUUGUAUGUAUGAUAAUUGAGAAAUGAUGAAUUAACAAACAACAACAUAAUAAUAUUUAUUAAGUAUAAGCAACACAAUUAUUGAUUUUCAAAGUAUACGAACCUAAAAAAAUGUUUACCCCCUAUUCACCUUUAUUGUAUUAGCAAGGCACGACUCUGUCUUCACCACAUAAAUACAAAUGCUAAGCAUCACGAUGUUUAAUUCAGGCGAUUGGGUCGUACUUUUUCAAUAUGCAUCAACUUUUUAUUCUUCAUGCAAUACAUGAGCGUGAACCAUUGGACAUAGCAUAUAGGUGGAAUAGAAUAUGGUGGUAGAUUUUAAAGGGGUAAAAAGUGGAGAAGAUAAUCUCACAUCAACUAGGCGUACCAACGAGCUAUGGAGAUGCCUAUCGAUAGAUGUCAAUGCGAGGAGUAGGCAUUGCCAUGCAAAUGAUGCACUAGAGCUACAAGUGUAUGAAAGCUCAACUGAAGCUAAGUGGGGUGUGCAUCCAACUUGGUUGCUCAUGAAGACCUAGGGCGUUUGAGGAAGCCCGUCAUUGGAAUAUACAAGUCAAGUUUAUUAUGAUAAGAUAAUUCCCACUAGCAUAUGGAGGUGACAGCAUAGGAGACUCUCUCUAUGAAGAUCAUGGUGCCACUUUGAGGCACAAGUGUGGUAAAGGAUAGUAUCAUUGUCCCUUCUCUAUUUUUCUCUCAUUUAUUUUUUAUAUGGUGGGAUUUUCUCCUUUUUUUAUUUCUUUUUGUCUCCCAUAUUUUUUAUAUCUAUGGUGGGCUCAUUUGGCCUCCCCCAUUUUAUUUAUUUUUCGUCCGGAGUCUCAUCCCGACUUGUGGGGGAAUCAUAGUCUCCAUCAUCCUUUCCUCACUGGGACAAUGCUCUAACAAGGAUGAUCAUCACACUUUUAUUUACUUACAACUCAAUAUGGAGAACUGAUAGGAAGAUAUGACUCUUUGAGAAUGCCUCUCUUACUAUACCAGGAUUUGCAAUGAUCUAGCGUGACAUGUAUCAAAAACAUGAUGGAAGGUGGCUUUGCCACAAAUACUAUGUCAGCUCUAUAUGAUCAUGCAAAGUAAUAUGACGAUGAACGAACUAGUCAUGUGAAGUGACCAUAGAAUUUGCAUGGAAAUAUAUCUCGGAAUGGCUAUGGAAAUGCCAUAAUAGAUAGGUAUGGUGGCUGUUUUGAGGAAGAUAUAAUGAGGCUUAUGUGCAACACAGCGUAUCAUGCCGCGGGAUGUGGAUGCACCGGCGAAAGUUGCACCAAUCCCCGAGGUGAGAAUGGGCUAUGCACGGUACCGAAGAGGCUAGCAAAUAUGAGAAGGUAAAGAUGCGUAUGUCCAAGGUGUCACAUUAGUCAUAAAGAACUCACAUACUUAUUGCAAAGUUUUAUUAGUUUUAUCACACAUCAAAGCACUACUUGCAUGCCGUGAGGGAGGGGGUUGGUAGGAGUUAACCGCCGCUCGCCCCCGACUCGAGACAACACUAGGAUUUUAACAAGGAAUAAGAAUGCUCACAUCAUCACCAUGCCUCUUUAAUAUUUAGAUGAACAACAAGUUAACACCCCUUUAAUCCCGACACUUAUAUGAAUCAACAAUUAUGGACUUUCACUUUUUUCAUAUUACCAUAUCAAUGUCACUAACUCACAAUUUCUCUAUGUGUGCUACAUGAUGGUUUUGAUUAUCAUUCGUUGAAUGCCUAUUAUUUUUGGACUAGUCUUAUGACCCAUGAAAAUUACCGUCACUAUUUAUUCAACUAUCAAACAAAUAUAAGUGAAGAACGAGAGCAAAUUAUUUCUAUAAAAUCUACACGCCACCGUGCUCGAAGAGAUAUAAGUGAAGUACUAGAGCAACUGCCAAGCUCAAAAGAUAUAAGUGAAGCACAUAGAGUAUUCUAGCAAAUCAUAAUGAAGGUGAGUCUCUCUCUAAUAGGUGUGUCCAGAAAAUUAUGAUUAUGAUAAACUGAAAUUAAAAGCAAACAAAAGAAAACGACGCUCCAAGCAAAACACAUAUCAUGUGAUGAAUAAAAAUGUAGCUCCAAGUGACAUACCGAUGGUUUGAGACGAAAGAGGGGAUGCCUUCCGGGGCAUCCCCAAGCUUAGAUGCUUGAGUCUUACUUAGAAUAAUACUUUGGUGCAUUGGUCAUCCCCAAGCUUAGGCUCUUGCUACUCCUUAUUACAUGGUACAUCGCGAUCACACUCAAAACUUGAAAACUUCAAUCACACAAAACUCAACAAAACUUCGUGUGAUCCGUUAGUAUAAGAAACAUAUUGCAUACUUUAGGUACUAUUAUAAAUUGAUUCUUAAUUUAUAAUUGCAUAAUAGGUACUGUAUUCUAACUUAUUCAUGACGUAUACGCCCCCAUAUAAGCCAUAGCAUCAUCAAAACAAGCAAACUAUGCAGGCAAAACAGUAUCUGUUUAAAACAGAACAGUCUGUAGAAAUUUGUAAAUAUCCCAUACUUAUGUAACUCUGAGAAUUCUGAAAACUUAGGACAACUUGGAUAAUUUGUACAUAAAUACUGUGUAAAAAUUUCAAGAAUUUAGCACGCUCCAGCAUAGAAUUUAAAAUUCUGCACUGGAGAUGAUAGUUUCUGUUUUUGCAUACUCAUCAAUCAUACUACAACGCACCACUCCGGCUGAAGAAAUAUUAAUCUAGUUGGACAAACUAACUCAGUAGAUCAGAGAGCAUUACGAAGCUAUGAUGAUUAUGCAAUUAAGAAUAAUAAUAAUUAGAGGUGACUCAAAUACUUUUCAUGAAUAAUCUGAACAUAAACCCACAAUUCUUCGGAUCCCAACAAACACACCAUACAUAGUGAUCACAUCGGAUAGAUCAAAGCGAAGAUGCAAUGAACAUGGUAUUGAAUAUCAUAAGAGAAAGAUUGCCAUCUAGGUACUGCCUACGGACCCGUAGGUCUGUGGUGAACUACUCACACAUUAUGGUAAGGGCAACAAGGUUGAUGUAGAAGCCCUCCGUGAUUGAUCUCCCCUCCGGCAGAUCGCCGGAACACAGGUUUAGAUGGCCUCCCAUCGGAACAGAGACUUGCUGCGGAGGAGAAAGUGUUUUGGGAGUGUUCUUAGGGUUUUUGGAAUAUUUAUGAAUUUAUAGGCCACAGAGGGACGUCAGGAGGCAUCCAGGGGGGCCACAAGCCAUCAAGGCACGACCAAGCCCUGGGCCGCGUCCUAUCGGCUUGUGACUCCCUCGUGCGGCCUCUCGUACACUUCCGAUGCUUGCAGGUCGUCAUAUAGUCCGGAAAAAUUUAUAUUAAAGUUUCAUGGCAUUUGGACUUCGUUUGGUAGGGUAAACCUGCAAUGGAAAAACACGUAGAAAACAUGAACUGACACUGGGCACUGGGUCAAUAGGUUAGUUCUCAAAAAUAUUAUAAAUUAGUAUAUAAAUGCCCAAAAGUUAUCCUAGAAUGAUAAUAUAUCAGCAUGGAACAAUAAAAAAAUUAUAGAUACGUUGGAGAUGUAUCAUGUCGCGCAUCUACUCCGGUAGUCCCGGCGAACUAAACAAUUAGUCUGCCUGAACCGCGUGAGAGGAGCCGAGUAACCACACGACGUCCAUGCAGUGUGUCGGACAGCGGAUCUGGUUGUGGGAUGCGAGAUCCGAUGCUAGAAGCCCGGCGAUGGCCAGAUCCAGAGCGGCGGCAGGGAAAGACAUGGACAUGGCAACACUUGUAGGAUGAGCAAGGUGAGAGGGUGAGGUGAGGAGGAAGAAGAAUGAAAGGAAAGACAAGAGAGAUGUUAGGAUCUGGUGCUGAUGUGGCCGUCCGGCAAGGAGGCGAGGCAGAUCGGCAUCGAGCGCAGUGGGAUGUGGUCGUCGGGCGAUGGGCACUGUGACCGGUGGUGGUGGAUGUGCGGCGCGGUGGGCGGUGGUGUCCGAGCGACGGGUGACGUGGUGUGAGGUGGCGUUCGAUGGCGCGGUGGGAGGUGACGUACAUGCAGCAUGGUGGCUUCCGUUGGUGGUGGUUGGGGCGGCGGUUGAAGCACGGAGGAUCUGCAGCGGGGAUUGGGGCGGAGCGAGCCCGGGGUUGAUGGCAGGGUGGGAUCCGACGAUGGGGGGCUAAGGACGGCCGAUAUGGUGGUGGUGGGUGCCAGGGGUGGCGAUAGGUGGCUGGGGUCGUGGGUGGGUUAACGGAGCGAAGAAGGUCAUGGGGAAUUGGGGUGUGGCUGUGAGGCUUCGUGGGGGUUGGGGAAGACAGUGUCGUGCGAGGAGAAGGAGUUUGUGGGUGGAGUGGUUUUUUUGGCAGAUCGGUUCGAUUGGCUCUCUAGUGCGUGUCGUGUCG
rnacentral:lncRNA from 1 species